rnacentral:ncRNA from 1 species
AAAAUGACGAUGAGAGGAAAUAGUACAGUCCCUCCUUCCAUUCUAGAGAGCUGCCGUUUGGUGAAAGGCAGCAAUGGAAUAGGCUUGGAACUCUUCCUCGAGUAGCCGACCGAAAUUGGAUUAAAGUAGGCUCGGACGGAGCUUCCACCGUUAAAAGGAAGGAGAUAUCGGAACUUCGAUGUUCGAAGUUCGAUGUACGUAGUUCGAACCAUGGGUAUUUUUUCGGGUCGAACCACGAAUCACGAACUACUAACCACGAUUAGCUCCCGUAUCUGCAGAGAAGACAGCUCUAUCUAGUUGCUGUCAACUUGAGUGGUACCGCGAAUUAACCCUUCGUCUCAAUC